UACGAAGGGGGCUAGCGUUGUUCGGAAUUACUGGGCGUAAAGGGCGUGUAGGCGGUUUAUCAAGUCAGAUGUGAAAGCCCCGUGCUCAACAUGGGAACUGCAUUUGGGACUGGUGAACUGGAGUUCGGGAGAGGAGAGCGGAAUUCCCAGUGUAGAGGUGAAAUUCGUAGAUAUUGGGAAGAACACCGGUGGCGAAGGCGGCUCUCUGGACCGAUACUGACGCUGAGGCGCGAAAGCGUGGGGAGCAAACAGG
rnacentral:rRNA from 1 species